GGGCCCGCACAAGCGGAGGAACAUGUGGUUUAAUUCGAUGAUACGCGAGGAACCUUACCCGGGCUUGAAAUGCAUCUGACGAACCUGGAAACAGGUUUUCUAGCAAUAGCAGAUGUGUAGGUGCUGCAUGGUUGUCGUCAGCUCGUGCCGUGAGGUGUCGGCUUAAGUGCCAUAACGAGCGCAACCCUUAUCAUUAGUUGCCAUCGGGUCAAGCCGGGAACUCUAAUGAGACUGCCACCGUAAGGUGUGAGGAAGGUGGGGAUGACGUCAAAUCAGCACGGCCCUUACGUCCGGGGCGACACACGUGUUACAAUGGGGGGUACAGCGGGCAGCUACCACGCGAGUGGAUGCUAAUCUCUGAAAGCCUCUCUCAGUUCGGAUCGGAGUCUGCAACUCGACUCCGUGAAGCUGGAUUCGCUAGUAAUCGCGCAUCAGCCAUGGCGCGGUGAAUACGUUCCCGGGCCUU
rnacentral:rRNA from 1 species